rnacentral:rRNA from 1 species
AGUGAACGCUGGCGGCGUGCCUAAUACAUGCAAGUCGAACGGAGUGGCGCACGGGUGAGUAAUGUAUAGCUAUUCUGCCCUACACUAGAGGACAACAGUUUGAAACGACUUCUAAUACUCUAUAGUUUAGUAGGCGUCUAUAUUGUAUCAGCUAGUUGUUGCGGUAAUGUUUCACCAAGGCUAUGACGCAUAACUGGUCUGAGAGGAUGAUCAGUCACACUGGAAGGGAGACGCGGUAGAGACUCUUACGGGAGGGAGCAGGAGGGAAGAUAGCUAAAUGGGGGGAGGCAUGAAGCAGCAAGGCCGCGAGGAGGAUGACACUUUUCAGAGAGUAAACUACUUGUGUAAGGGAAGCGGUACCUAACGAAUAAGCACCGGCUAACUCCGUGCCAGCAGCCGCGGUAAUAC